UACGUAGGGUGCGAGCGUUAAUCGGAAUUACUGGGCGUAAAGCGUGCGCAGGCGGUUCGUCGUGUCUGAUGUGAAAGCCCCGGGCUCAACCUGGGAAUGGCAUUGGAAACUGGCGGACUAGAGUGUGGCAGAGGGGGGUGGAAUUCCGCGUGUAGCAGUGAAAUGCGUAGAGAUGCGGAGGAACACCGAUGGCGAAGGCAGCCCCCUGGGCUAACACUGACGCUCAUGCACGAAAGCGUGGGGAGCAAACAGG
rnacentral:rRNA from 1 species